GGCUAUCGCUUACAGAUGGGCCCGCGGUGCAUUAGCUAGUUGGCAGGGUAAUGGCCUACCAAGGCAACGAUGCAUAGCCGACCCGCGAGGGUGAUCGGUCACACUGGGACUGAGACACGGCCCAGCCCCCUACGGGAGGCAGCAGUAGGGAAUCUUCCGCAAUGGACGAAAGUCUGACGGAGCAACGCCGCGUGGAUGAAGAAGGUUUUCGGAUCGUAAAGUACUGUUGUUAGAGAAGAACAAGGAUAAGAGUAA
rnacentral:rRNA from 1 species